rnacentral:tRNA from 6 species
GCCCUGGUAGCUUAGUGGUAGAGCAUCUGUCUCGUAAACAGAAGGCCGUGGGUUCAACUCCCAUCCAGGGCU